rnacentral:lncRNA from 1 species
CUUUGUGGUAGGGUGCAGGCGGCGUGGGGAGAGAGAGAGAAACACUGAGACCUUGCUUUCCUGUGACCAAAAAGACCCAACAACCCAUCCUAGAAGGACUUGGGGUUUUUUUAACCAUUUUUUUUUUACCGUCAUCACCAAUCCCCAGGAGCUUUGUAAAGAUGAAAGUUGACACCUAAUUGCAAAAAUAGGGUGAAAAUAAGAAGAAAAAAGAAAUUGACAUUUUCCUGAAAGACCAGCUUGCUCAAUGGUGACAGUACUUCAGGCUGGAGACCAUGUCUGUGAAGGUGAGAUUCCUCUCGCCUGGCGAUGUUGGGACCAUGGGCAGAAGCUCCUCCUUUGCCGGGUUCAGCAGCGUGCAAAGCAGGAAGAUUUCGUAAGUCCUACUCAACUCCCUGAGCAAUGCUCCAGGCACGGAGCUUAUGCAAGGCCUCUUAAGAUGGGUAGUAGUUCUCCCCUCUCUCAUCUUCCAGAUGUUUGGGGAAUGUCAUCCAGCUGCCAUUUUCAAUUCUCCUGACCUCUUACCCACAGCCAAGCACCAAUCAUUGGAUCUUUAUCACAUUCCUCACCCUCCACCCCCAUCCUAGUCCCAGUAAUUUAAUUUAAAAUUUCUCUGAUUUUAAUUCCUUAAAUUUCAGACCCUUCUCAUUUAACUUCUCUUUUAAUCCUUACAAUGGCUCUGUAAAAUAAAUAAUGCAGAGCUUAUUAUCCCCAUUUGACAGAUGAGAAAAGUGUCCUCUUGCUUGUGUCUCCCCCUGAAAAAAUAACUUGCCCCCUAAGUCAUGGAAUCAAUUAGUAGCAGAACCAGGACUUAAAUGUAGGUCUCUGACUCCCAGUCCAGUUUGAUCUUUUGGGCAUGGGGAUGGGGACAGGGUAAGAAGUGACUUACGUAGGAUAAAAUUAUUCCCUUUUUUCCCCUAGAGGGAAUCUGGGACACAGAGAAAAGGAGUCACUUUUAUGAAGAUUUAUGGGAAGGCUGUGCUAGAGCUGUCAGCGGGCAGACACAAUGUCACUAGACUUAUUCGAAACCAGUUUUCAUAUCCUUGACAGAGGCAAGAGUAGCCCCUUCUCCAGGGCAGUUAUUAGCUGGUCUCCCGGGAGUGUCAGUGGGAGCCAAAAAGUCAGGCAAGUGGACACUCAAAACAAUAUUUCUAGAAAUAUCUAGAGAAAGUCUGGAAAGGAAAAGAGGCUCAUCAGCUGUUACCCUAAUCAUAUCCUAGAGGGCAAGAGAAGUAAUACAUGAAAAAAAAAAAUCCAUUUCCCUAACCUCCAGAUUCAUUAUGGAUAGAUCUCAUUUCUCAGUCUGGUUUGUGCUGUCUCUAUUUUCAAAAUCCAGAUGCACCACUGGAGAUUUGGGGGUGGGGGUGGAAGAGACAAAUACAACUUCUCAUUAAGCCCCCCAGACCCUCCUGGAAAGAGUCUAUGGGAAUCCAGGGGAGCUGAGACUCCACCACACUGUGGUCAGAGGACCUGUGAGUGUGAGUCCUGGCUGGGCUGCUCCCGUAUCACUGUGGAAAAGACACUUCCCUCUUUGAACCCGUUUCCUCAUUUGUCAAAUGGAGAUAGUAAGACUUUUGCCACCUACCUCCUAGGCUUAUUUCAAGGAAGACAUUUCACAAAUUGUAAAGUGCUUUAGAGAAAUGAGGCUUUUUGUUUAUUAUUGAGAACUGCAGGCCCUGAGGCACUUGAAUUCAGACAUCAGGAACUUCAGUUAUCUAGAAAGAAGAGCCAAAAAAAUUCUUUCCUCUCAUUUCCCUGGAAGGCUGACUUAUAGUCCAAUAAUAUUCCAGGACUAGCCUGUGAUAUUGGAAUGGGAUGAGAAAUCUGAGGCUGCCUCAAGUCUGCUCUGGGCCUUGUUCAUAGACCUUGGGUGAUGUGGUUUGGAAGGACUGAUUAUAAGAAUUAGGAAAACAUCAUUUUAAAGCUGGUAGGAACUUAGAGGUCUCUGAGUUAGAAGUGAUCUUGGGAUGUAAGGUCUAGAAUGUUGGACUGGAAGGGAUCUCAAUAAUUCUUACAUUUACAAUAUGUUUGUGUGUGUGUGUAUAUAUAUUACAAAAUACUCAACAUGUAUAAUCUCACUUGGUGCUCAAAACAGACCUGUGAGGUAGCUGCUAUUAUUAUCCUUAUUUCAUAGAUGGAGGAAUUGAGAUUCUAGGAGUCUCAAGGACUUGGAAUUCAAAUUUCUGCUUCCAAAUCUCUCUGCUUUCACCUUAGCCCUCAGAUUUACAAAUGAGGAAACUGAGGAAUAGAGAAUAGAAGAAUCUUGGCUAAGAUAGAACUCAGGUCUUUCGACUUUCAAAACCAUACCUUUUUCAUCAUAUCCGUAGUAUAUGCCAAAGAAGAUAGUUAGAGAAAGUGGUAUUUAUGCUGGGAGAUAAGGUGGGUGUUGGUCAGGGAAGGAGCCCGAAGUCCCCACUUUACGUAGAGGGCUGUUAUUGAGCUGUCAGUGUCUGACCCUGAAUCUGGUGCUUGUAGUAUGUAUAAGUCUCCAGACUUUGGGGAGGGUAAAUGCAAUUACUGUUGGCAAAAGAGCUGUAUCCAUGAACUCCAGAGUUCUCUAUGUCUCUGAACUUCUCCAGGACCUUGGGAAGUAUUCCUGAAGCUCAAACAGGAGCCUGGGCUUUAGCCUGACCAGACCCUAAGAAUAACCCAUCUUUCUUGGAAGCCACAACAAAGUUUGGGGAUAAUCUUUCCCCAGAUCUGGUGACUACUUCCCUGCCUCUAUUCUAAAUUUCCAGUAAUAAUGGAUGGAAGAAAAAGGACAAAGAGAGGGAAAAAAACAAAAAACAAAAUCAUGAUUCUCUGAUGACCUCUCAGGGGAAUAAUGACAAUGAAACUGGAUCCUGACAUUUUCUGUGUAGUUUAUGGCAGGUAUAUGUAAGCAUAUUUAAAUAACUCUUAGGCCUAAACUUGUUCCAUUUGGUCUCAGCUGGCACAUAUGUCAAAGUUCUGGGGAGGCACAUUUGGUUAUAGAAUAAGGAACAACUUCUUCAUAUUUAGAGCUAAGGAUGGAAUUUAGAGCUUCUUGUGAAGAUGAGAAAGGGGAGAGGGAGAGACAGAAAGGUAGAGACAGAGAAAUAGAGAGAGAGACAGAGACAGAGAGACAGAGAGACAGACAGAGACAGAGGGAG